rnacentral:rRNA from 1 species
UUUUAGUAUGGCGACCGGCGCACGGGUGAGUAACACGUAUCCAACCUGCCGAUGACUCGGGGAUAGCCUUUCGAAAGAAAGAUUAAUACCCGAUGGCAUAGUUCUUCCGCAUGGUAGAACUAUUAAAGAAUUUCGGUCAUCGAUGGGGAUGCGUUCCAUUAGGUUGUUGGCGGGGUAACGGCCCACCAAGCCUUCGAUGGAUAGGGGUUCUGAGAGGAAGGUCCCCCACAUUGGAACUGAGACACGGUCCAA